CUGCAGCUCAAGUGGUGGCCGCUAUUAUUGGGCCUAAAACGUUCGUAGCCGGUUUGGUAAAUGCCUGGGUAAAUCGUGUAGCUUAACUAUACGAAUUCCGGGUAGACUGCCAAACUUGAGACCGGGAGAAGCUAGAGGUACUCCUGGGGUAGAGGUGAAAUUCUGUAAUCCUGGGGGGACCACCAGUGGCGAAGGCGUCUAGCUAGAACGGGUCUGACGGUGAGGAACGAAGCCCUGGGGCGCAAACCGGAUUAGAUACCCGCGUAGUCC
rnacentral:rRNA from 1 species